ACCCGCUGAACUUAAGCAUAUCAAUAAGCGGAGGAAAAGAAACCAACAGGGAUUGCCCUAGUAACGGCGAGUGAAGCGGCAACAGCUCAAAUUUGAAAUCUGGCUCUUUUAGAGUCCGAGUUGUAAUUUGCAGAGGGCGCUUUGGCUUUGGCAGCGGUCCAAGUUCCUUGGAACAGGACGUCACAGAGGGUGAGAAUCCCGUACGUGGUCGCUGGCUAUUGCCGUGUAAAGCCCCUUCGACGAGUCGAGUUGUUUGGGAAUGCAGCUCUAAAUGGGAGGUACAUUUCUUCUAAAGCUAAAUAUUGGCCAGAGACCGAUAGCGCACAAGUAGAGUGAUCGAAAGAUGAAAAGCACUUUGGAAAGAGAGUCAAACAGCACGUGAAAUUGUUGAAAGGGAAGCGCUUGCAGCCAGACUUGCUUACAGUUGCUCAUCCGGGUUUUUACCCAGUGCACUCUUCUGUAGGCAGGCCAGCAUCAGUUUGGGCGGUAGGAUAAAGGUCUCUGUCACGUACCUCCUUUCGGGGAGGCCUUAUAGGGGAGACGACAUACUACCAGCCUGGACUGAGGUCCGCGCAUCUGCUAGGAUGCUGGCGUAAUGGCUGU
rnacentral:rRNA from 1 species